CUACGGGACGCACCAGUGAGGAAUAUUGCACAAUGGGGGGAACCCUGAUGCAGCAACGCCGCGUGGAGGAUGACGCAUUUCGGUGUGUAAACUCCUUUUAUAUGUCAAGAAAAUGACGGUAGCAUAUGAAUAAGCACCGGCUAACUCCGUGCCAGCAGCCGCGGUAAUACGGGAGGGUGCAAGCGUUACUCGGAAUCACUGGGCGUAAAGGACGCGUAGGCGGGUUGGAAAGUCAGGUGUGAAAUCCUACAGCUUAACUGUAGAACUGCACUUGAAACUUCUGAUCUAGAGUAUGGGAGGGGGAGAUGGAAUUAGUGGUGUAGGGGUAAAAUCCGUAGAUAUCACUAGGAAUACCUAAAGCGAAGGCGAUCUCCUGGAACAUUACUGACGCUAAGGCGUGAAAGCGUGGGGAGCAAACAGGAUUAGAUACCCCCGUAGUC
rnacentral:rRNA from 1 species